rnacentral:rRNA from 1 species
AAACCAACCGGGAUUGCCUUAGUAACGGCGAGUGAAGCGGCAAAAGCUCAAAUUUGAAAUCUGGUACCUUCGGUGCCCGAGUUGUAAUUUGGAGAGGGCAACUUUGGGGCCGUUCCUUGUCUAUGUUCCUUGGAACAGGACGUCAUAGAGGGUGAGAAUCCCGUGUGGCGAGGAGUGC